rnacentral:lncRNA from 1 species
GCAAUUUCUGAUACGUCUUUGCCUGCAAAAAAGAUCCCAAAAACUUGGAGCCAAGACAUUUUGUUGACAACUCACUAAUGAGGAUUUUCAGUUCCAUGGACUGACUGAUCAAGAGCACAGUUAUUUUAAACAUUACCUUAUUUGAACAUAUGAACUGUGAUUUAAUGGGACAUGCAAUAAGAUAAUACUAAACAUGUACGUAUGUCUUCUCCACUACUUUCUUAUACAUAUGAAACAUCUCAGCUGGAGGAAUUAUAAAUGUACUUCUCUUACUUUACCAAGAAGAACAGCCAUUUUAUGACGCCAUCUGCCUUUAUUCAAGGAGGCAACUCUGAUCCAAAUGUUAAGCUGAGAGUUAUAAAUCCAUACAUCCCGACUAUUGAUUCUUCCACCUGAAACAAGGAUAUCAUUCCGUAGGGCACACACUGCAUACUCAGACUUGGUAAACUCUGGAAGUUUGGCCAGUGAUUUCCAUUCUCCUGUUACAGGAUCGUAGCACUCGGUGUAUGGCAAGUUAAACCCUCCAACUCUUU